AAGACAUCAGGAACAUCUUGUGAGCACAUUUGGCUACUCCUGCAAGCAAGGUGAAGAAGAGAAUUAACAUCCAAUUUUCAGCUACCAGUGCCGUGACGCUACUCCUGACAUUGCUGCUGGUGCUAUAAAAGCAGGCAAAGCUUCCAGCAACAGUCCCCGAAGGGCAUCAGGUCUCCUGAUCUUCAUCUCUUUCUUCAUUUUAAUGUGUGCUCUUGGAAGAGACAAGCUAAUUUCCUGAUGCAUCUGUUGUCUGGCUGGUUCCUAGCAUUUGUACAGAUUCAAAGAAGCUCGAGAAUAUAAAAUAAGCAGCAGAGUCCCACAGGUUGUCUCCUUGGUCUGUGAGAGACUGGAAAUGCCUCUCUAAGCAUAACUGAACUCUCCUGCUCAGCUUGACUGAAGAGAGAGCGUGGCUGUGGCGCCUGCUGUGAAAAGGACUUUUCUGAGGAAACAAACCAGUGAAGAGGUGACAGUGACCAGACCUGGACUAACAAAGCUCUAAUAAGGUAGAACACAUUGCCUGAAGCUAUGCCAGAGGCCAGCCCACCAGGACAGACUAAUCAGGGCAUGGACGAUGAUACCUCUGUAUUUUGGGUUUUGUCUGACCUUAACCCUCUGUAUUUUGGGUUUUGUCUCACCUUAACCUCCAGUCCCGCACUGGAACAGCGCACACAGCGCUUGGUGGUUCCCAGGCUGCCAUCAGCAGCAGUCCUGAGGAGCCUUA